rnacentral:rRNA from 1 species
GAUGAACGCUGGCGGCGUGCCUAAUACAUGCAAGUCGAGCGAACAGAUGAGGAGCUUGCUCCUCUGACGUUAGCGGCGGACGGGUGAGUAACACGUGGAUAACCUACCUAUAAGACUGGGAUAACUUCGGGAAACCGGAGCUAAUACCGGAUAAUAUAUUGAACCGCAUGGUUCAAUAGUGAAGGACGGUUUUGCUGUCACUUAUAGAUGGAUCCGCGCCGCAUUAGCUAGUUGGUAAGGUAACGGCUUACCAAGGCAACGAUGCGUAGCCGACCUGAGAGGGUGAUCGGCCACACUGGAACUGAGACACGGUCCAGACUCCUACGGGAGGCAGCAGUAGGGAAUCUUCCGCAAUGGGCGAAAGCCUGACGGAGCAACGCCGCGUGAGUGAUGAAGGUCUUCGGAUCGUAAAACUCUGUUAUUAGGGAAGAACAAAGGUGUAAGUAACUAUGCACGUCUUGACGGUACCUAAUCAGAAAGCCACGGCUAACUACGU